GAACUCACUUCUGCAGCACAUAUACUGAAAUUGGAAUGAUACAGAGAUUAGUAUGGCCCCUGCACAAUGAUGACACACAAAUUUGUGAAGCAUUCCAUAAAAAA